CACGUAGGGGGCAAGCGUUGUCCGGAUUUAUUGGGCGUAAAGAGCUCGUAGGCGGCUCAGUAAGUCGGGUGUGAAACCUCCAGGCUCAACCUGGAGACGCCACCCGAUACUGCUGUGGCUUGAGUCCGGUAGGGGAGCGUGGAAUUCCUGGUGUAGCGGUGGAAUGCGUAGAGAUCCGGAGGAAGACCGGUGGCGAAGGCGGCCUGCUGGGCAGUUACUGACACUGAGGCGCGACAGCGUGGGGAGCAAACAGG
rnacentral:rRNA from 1 species